AUUGAACGCUGGCGGCAUGCCUUACACAUGCAAGUCGAACGGUAGCACGGGAGCAAUCCUGGUGGCGAGUGGCGAACGGGUGAGUAAAGUAUCGGAACGUGCCCAGUCGUGGGGGAUAACGUAGCGAAAGUUACGCUAAUACCGCAUACGAUCUACGGAUGAAAGCGGGGGAUCGCAAGACCUCGCGCGAUUGGAGCGGCUGAUAUCAGAUUAGGUAGUUGGUGGGGUAAAGGCUCACCAAGCCGACGAACUGUAGCUGAUCUGAGACGACGACCAGCCACACUGGGACUGAGACACGGCCCAGACUCCUACGGGAGGCAGCAGUGGGGAAUUUUGGACAAUGGGCGCAAGCCUGAUCCAGCCAUGCCGCGUGCAGGAUGAAGGCCUUCGGGUUGUAAACUGCUUUUGUACGGAACGAAAAGGUUUGGCCUAAUAAGCUGGACCCAUGACGGUACCGUAAGAAUAAGCACCGGCUAACUACGUGCCAGCCGCCGCAGUAA
rnacentral:rRNA from 1 species